rnacentral:rRNA from 1 species
CUACGGGACGCAGCAGUGAGGAAUAUUGCACAAUGGGGGGAACCCUGAUGCAGCAGCGCCGCGUGGAGGAUGACGCAUUUCGGUGUGUAAACUCCUUUUAUAUGUCAAGAAAAUGACGGUAGCAUAUGAAUAAGCACCGGCUAACUCCGUGCCAGCAGCCGCGGUAAUACGGGGGUGCAAGCGUUACUCGGAAUCACUGGGCGUAAAGGACGCGUAGGCGGGUUGGAAAGUCAGGUGUGAAAUCCUACAGCUUAACUGUAGAACUGCACUUGAAACUUCUAAUCUAGAGUAUGGGAGGGGGAGAUGGAAUUAGUGGUGUAGGGGUAAAAUCCGUAGAUAUCACUAGGAAUACCUAAAGCGAAGGCGAUCUCCUGGAACAUUACUGACGCUAAGGCGUGAAAGCGUGGGGAGCAAACAGGAUUAGAUACCCGCGUAGUC